rnacentral:rRNA from 1 species
AACGAACGCUGGCGGCAGGCUUAACACAUGCAAGUCGAGCGCCCAGCAAUGGGAGCGGCGCACGGGUGAGUAACACGUGGGAACAUGCCCUAUGGUUCGGAAUAACGCAGGGAAACUUGCGCUAAUACCGGAUAAGCCCUAACGGGGAAAGAUUUAUCGCCAUUGGAGUGGCCCGCGUUGGAUUAGCUAGUUGGUGGGGUAAAAGCCUACCAAGGCGACGAUCCAUAGCUGGUUUGAGAGAACGACCAGCCACACUGGGACUGAGACACGGCCCAGACUCCUACGGGAGGCAGCAGUGGGGAAUCUUGGACAAUGGGGGAAACCCUGAUCCAGCCAUGCCGCGUGAGUGAUGAAGGCCCUAGGGUUGUAAAACUCUUUCGGCGGGGACGAUAAUGACGGUACCCGCAGAAGAAGCUCCGGCUAACUUCGUGCCAGCAGCCGCGGUAACAC